rnacentral:rRNA from 2 species
UACGUAGGUGGCGAGCGUUGUCCGGAUUUACUGGGCGUAAAGAGCGCGCAGGCGGUCGUACAAGUCGCGUGUGAAAGCCCCCGGCUCAACUGGGGAGGGUCACGCGAUACUGUUCGACUCGAAGGCAGGAGAGGGAAGUGGAAUUCCCGGUGUAGUGGUGAAAUGCGUAGAUAUCGGGAGGAACACCAGUGGCGAAGGCGACUUCCUGGCCUGUUCUUGACGCUGAGGCGCGAAAGCUAGGGUAGCAAACGGG